CCAUACAAACAAAAGUUGUUACGUAUAAAUCUUAUUGCAAUUAUAUACGAGUAAAAACCACUACGUAUAAAUCUAUUUCAAUUCUAUACGAGUAUGUAUGUUAGGUAUAAUUAUCUACUUAAUAUACAAGUAGUACCUAGGGUAUAAGUAGGGGAAACUUAUACUUAACAUUAAUACUUGUAUAGCGACGAAGUAUAAUGUUUCUAACAAGUUGCUACCAUGAGUCUGUAGUUGCGACUGUAUGACAUAGUCAUAUNCUAUGACAUAAUACCUCUGAUAAAACCCACUCAUGAUUUCCAUGAGGACAACCCAUUCAUGAUUUCCAUGAGAAAAACCCAUUCAUGAUUACCAUGAGGAACACCGCACGCUUCAUCGACGCCGGAAUAAUAAACAAAUAAAAGGAACGGAUCGUCACUCGCUUGUCUUGGGUUGUAAUUAACAACCACAAGUGGGGUCGUCAACCCGUAUCUUAUUCAUACACGACUUCCUUGCUCACACGGGAUUAACGGUUACAGUUCAUAGGAUUUCCACUAAGAUCCCCAAUCUUAGUUGAUGAAUGAGGUAGCUCAUGUAGACUUUGACGGCGUUCUAUAUUCCUAAAUAAAAAAGCAUAUUCAUGUCAAAAACCCUAAGUUACUAGACUAUGCUUUUAAACAGUACUCCUAACUUCAUAACAUUUAGGCAGUAUAAUAACUAUAACUUGAAGUAAAACCAGGUUUUAUCUUGACAUAAAACCGAUAACAACAACAACAUAUAACAUACCAAGUUUUAUCUUGUCAUAAAACUAACAAUAACAACAUAUAGCAUACUAAGUUUUAUCUUGACAUAAAACCAAUAAUAGCAACAUACUUUAUAACUUAACAUAUAGAACUUCCGAAUAUAACUUCGGAACUAUAUCGCACACNUUACGAUAGUUGUAUACUUUCAUAUACAAAAUAACUAUAUCCCGGUUAUUAUAACUAUCUACGUUGAUACUAAUAUACUAUCAUAUAGAUAUAAUAAUAACAUAUAUAUAAUAUUUAGCAUGCGUUUUUCCCUGAAAUAUUAGAAAGUGGGGCCGUGAAACUCACCUUAGCAUCGUGAUUUUAUGUAAUCUAAACAGAAACGGUCAGCGGUAAGAGGUCGUCGGGGCUCGGGAAGCGAAACGGCUUCAGCAAGCGAGAGAGAGAGAGAGAAAAGAAAUGGUGUACGGAGAGAGGAGGCCGGACUUGCUAUUUAUAGGCUGAUUUUUGGCCUCUCACGACGUGAAAAACUCAUUGUUCACGUCGUGAGUUUGUAUCUUAUCUCUUCGUAGACUUGUCAUCCGUCUUCUAGCUUCCGAAGGUGGCAAAAUGAGCCCUCACGACGUGAAAAAUGCCUUGUUCACGUCGUGAGUUUGGAUCUUAUCCCCUUGUAGCCUCGUCACACCUUCUAGAUCCGAAAUAUGGCGGUUUGACUCCUCACGUCGUGAGUUUUUAUGCUCACCUCGUGAGUUCAGUCAAAUUAGGGUUUUCUGACAGCGACAUCUUCGGAAGGCCAUAACUUUUGCAUACGAACUCCGUUUUUGACAUUCUUUAUAUCCACGCGUAGGUAUUUACGAGCACUGCAACUCUCUUUUAGACUCCAAUAGCUAAUUAUAAUCCUAUUUUAAAUUCCUUAUGUUAUAGAGAUUUUAUAGUGUUCGGUUUAUUAUAACUUCUUCAUGCAAAGUCAGAUUUAGAUGUUCUCUAUAUUUUUGGAAUCGUAUGGACAUAUAAUUUGAUUUAUACCAUAAAGUAUGUAUGAAAGUUCAUAUUUAUAUUAGAAUUAUCAUGAAAUACAUAGUGAGUUUACUACAUUACUAGUUUAACAAAAUCACAUUACAUGAUUGGCAUAAUCACAUGUGAUUGUUAUUGACCUAUUUUGACUGGUGUUACAUUCUCCUCUCGUUAGAAUAAUUGCAUCCCGAAAUUUAUCUUGUGGACGAGGAAUUGUUAAUUAGUUGGGGAAAAGUUUGUGGAUAUUGCUUAGCUGUUAAUGUAACUUAAGUUAAUAUGCGACAUAACCAAUUCUUGCUAGAAUUUCAAAAAGUCCUAUAUAUCGUGGUUUAGCUUGCCUUGUUUUUUGAAUCGAAUCAUGCUUUUCCAAGGAGAGACCUUCAACAUUACUCUAUCUCCAACUUGGAAUUCCAAAUGCUUACGUCUUACGUCAGCAUCGCUCUUCUGACGAUCACAUGUUGCCUUUAAUUGAUCCUUAAUUUACACGAUCUUUUGAGUUGUCUCGUGGCUGAUUUCUAGCUCGGCACAUAUGGUAUGACCUAUAUGUUCUCUGGCCAAUUGUGUGUCUCCAAAUUCUUAGCGCAAAAACUACAUCUCCCAAUUCAAGGUCAUGGGUAGUGUAAUUAUUCUCAUGCACCUUAAGUUGUCGUGAUGCGUAGGCGAUAACUUUUCGUCUUUGCAUCAACACACAUCCUAAUCCUUGAUUUGAUGCGUCGUAGUAUACGAAGAAAUCUUUUGUCCCAUUUGGAAGGGAUAGGAUUGGUGCACUACACAACAUUUGCUUUAGUUUUUGAAAAGCUGCUUCUUGUUUAUCUUCCCAGUUGAACUUCAUAUCCUUCUAGGUUAGUGUUGUAAGUGGCUUGGCUAUUUUGGAGAAAUUCUCUAUGAAUCUACGGUAAUAGCCAGCAAGUCCUAAGAAUUGACGCACUUCUGUUGGCGUCUUUAGUGUUUCCUAGUUCCUGAUUGCUUCAACCUUGGAGGGUUGGACACGAAUCCCUUUGUUACUAACCACAUGUUCUAAAAAUUGUACUUCUCUAAUCCAAAAUUCACAUUCGGAGAAUUUAGCAUACAACUUUUCUUUUCUUAGUAGUUCCAAGAUUAUUUGCAAGUGUUGACUGUGUUCUUCCUUGGUUUGUGAAUAUAUCAAUAUAUCAUCGAUAACUACUAGCACAAAUUUAUCCAAGUACGGUUUGCAAACACUAUUCAUGAGGUCCAUGAUAAUUGUUGGAGCGUUGGUCAAUCCCAAAAGGCUUAACUAAGAACUCUUCAUGACCAUAUCAAGUCCUAAAUGCUGUUUUCGGAACAUCAUCUUCUUGUACUCCGAGUUGAUGGUAUCCUGAUCUGAGACCUAUCUUUAAUCUUCUAGAAUCUUCAGGUGUUUUAGUCUAUCAACUACCGUAUCCAAGUUUAGUUGUGCAUCGGUCUGAACAAAAUUAAACAUAGGUGAUCAGCCUAUGUUUAGUUGUGGUUAGGCCCAUGUACAAUAAAACUCGACUAAGUAGUUUGACCUAAAGCAUUGUGUUGAAUUCUUAUCGAGGGUUUUGGUUUUCUAUAUUUUUGGUUUAUACACGUGUUCUCAUCGCGGGACUGAGUUCAUACAUAGCUCUAUAUCUUUGUGUUUGUUGUAUUCAUGGGUAUUAUUAAUUAUUGUUUGUUAAUUCAGGUCUAGCUGAUAAGGUACCGGCCAGUCAGGACAGUCGGUGGGCAGGAUCAUUUUAACAUAUAGUCGUUCUGAAAUCCAGCAAACCAAGCAACGUGUCUAUCCUGUCACCGCUCCCGUAAGUAGUCCUUCAGUAGUAUAAUUACUAAUACAUUUCAUUUGUAGGUUAAGGGAUAUACCUAAACCUAACAGACUAAGCCCUAAACUAUAGUCGUGCUUUCCUAAGAAAGUACUAAUUCACUAUAGCUAAUAGCUUUGAUACCAAUCUGUCACACCCCGACCGUCGGCAGAAACACCGGGCAGUGUAACGUCAUUUCUCGUAUCAUAGUUAUCAACUUCCCGAAAACAUAUGCAAUUUAAAAAUACGUCAACAUGAAGUUGGUGAGCUCACAGGUUUUGACUCCAUAUAAAAAUAAUACAUUUUCCAAGUUCAAAAGUAUAGUUUUGAAAGUAUCAUUUUGACUCUCCAAUGUUUAGUAUAUAUAUCCUAGGUAUAAAACUUUACUUACCAAAUAAGUAGUUUACCUAUAAGUCUCAUAUACUAUAACAUAACUUUUUGUAAUUCCAUACAAACGAAAGUUGUUACAUAUAAAUCUUAUUUCAAUUCUAUACGAGUAAAAAUCACUACGUACAAAUCUAUUUCAAUUCUAUACGAGUAUGUAUGUUAGGUAUAAUUAUCUACUUAAUAUACAAGUAGUACCUAGGGUAUAAGUAGGGGAAACUUAUACUUAACAUUAAAACUUGUAUACGACAAAGUAUAAUGUUUCUAACAAUUUGCUACCAUGAGUCUGUAACCGCUGCUAUGACAU
rnacentral:lncRNA from 1 species